GACGAACGCUGGCGGCGUGCUUAACACAUGCAAGUCGAACGGUAAGGCUCCAGCUUGCUGGGGUACACGAGUGGCGAACGGGUGAGUAACACGUGGGUGACCUGCCCUGCACUUCGGGAUAAGCCUGGGAAACUGGGUCUAAUACCGGAUAGGACCGCACCGUGAGGGUGUGGUGGAAAGUUUUUUCGGUGUGGGAUGGGCCCGCGGCCUGUCAGCUUGUUGGUGGGGUAAUGGCCUACCAAGGCGGCGACGGGUAGCCGGCCUGAGAGGGUGGACGGCCACAUUGGGACUGAGACACGGCCCAGACUCCUACGGGAGGCAGCAGUGGGGAAUAUUGCACAAUGGGCGGAAGCCUGAUGCAGCGACGCCGCGUGGGGGAUGACGGCCUUCGGGUUGUAAACUCCUUUCACCAUCGACGAAGGGUUUCUGACGGUAGAUGGAGAAGAAGCACCGGCUAACUACGUGCCAGCAGCCGCGGUAAUACGUAGGGUGCGAGCGUUGUCCGGAAUUACUGGGCGUAAAGAGCUCGUAGGUGGUUUGUCGCGUCGUCUGUGAAAUUCCGGGGCUUUAACUCCCGGCGUGCAGGCGAUACGGGCAUAACUUGAGUACUGUAGGGGAGACUGGAAUUCCUGGUGUAGCGGUGAAAUGCGCAGAUAUCAUGAGGAACACCCGGUGGCGAAAGGGGGUCUCUUGGGCAUUACUGACGCUGAGGAGUCAAAACAUGGGGAGCGAACAGG
rnacentral:rRNA from 1 species